rnacentral:rRNA from 1 species
GUGAGGAAUAUUGCGCAAUGGAGGCAACUCUGACGCAGCCAUGCCGCGUGCAGGAAGAAGGCGCUACGCGUUGUAAACUGCUUUUAACCGGGAAGAAACCCCAGGACGUGUCCUGGGUUGACGGUACCGGAGGAAUAAGCACCGGCUAACUUCGUGCCAGCAGCCGCGGUAAUACGAAGGGUGCAAGCGUUAUCCGGAUUCAUUGGGUUUAAAGGGUGCGUAGGCGGAGCGUUAAGUCAGUGGUGAAAUCCUGCAGCUUAACUGUAGACUUGCCAUUGAUACUGGCGCUCUUGAGUGCGCUUGAAGUGGGCGGAAUGUGCCGUGUAGCGGUGAAAUGCUUAUAUAUGGCACAGAACACCAAUUGCGAAGGCAGCUCACUAAGGCGAUACUGACGCUGAGGCACGAAAGCGUGGGGAUCGAACAGGAUUAGAAACCCGUGUAGUCC